GAAGGAGGCUUGAAGGGGUUAAAGUGGAAGGCUUGUACAAACUUUGCUCUCUUAUCUCCUCCCUCCCUCUGGGGCUUCACUCUGGCUCAGGCAGAGCUGAGCUGAGUGGAAUCGCUACCUUUCCUGCAUUCGCUCAACUGUUGCCAGCAAAGGAGGAACCAGGGACUUAACUAAUUCAGGCUGCUUCCAUUCAAAUGUUCCAAAAGGGCAUCUACACAGCCAGAGACCUCGCAGUGCUCUUUGCAGCUUAGAAGAGGCAUCAGAAACUGCAUUCUGGAGCCGUAAGUGCUAACUGGGAUCUGAAGUAACUAACUGAAGGUGCUUUCCUGCUUUUCUGAAAAGACUGACUCUUCAGGAAGAUGAAUACUCCAGAGAUGCUCUGAACAAGUUGUCUGCCGGUGCAAGCUUCAAAGGGGAUAUUUAAAUCGCCAACCGUACUCGUUCUGUGACUCAGGAAAGGAAAAUUAAUCUGUUGAAGAUUCCUAACAGUCGAAUUCUCUGAGCCCUGGCCAGUUGUCAGCAUCUCUGAGACCUCCUCCUCCUCCUCCUAAGUAUCAGAGGGUGUGACAACACCUUCCCUGCUGGAUGGCCACAAAGCUGUAGAAGGCUCAUUUCCUGUAUUCUUAUAUCCUUCAAGCUGGGAGUGUGGCAGGAACGUUACAGUCUCAGACCUUAGGAAAGACUGACAAAUUCAGGCAUAACAGGGGAAAACUCAGUUAAAAUGCACCAGAGACAUCCAAAACCUUUAGCAAACAGUCUCCCAGAAGAACCCAAUUAAACCUCCACCAUUAGUCUGCAGAUCUAGGUGAGCUUUAGAUAAAAAGGAGCCUUUUAUCCUUUUAGAAAAUAAAAAGCAAAAUGAAGAUUCUUAUCUCCAUACCAGUAUUAUAAAGUAGUUUUACCAUAUUUAUUUUCCCCAGUGUGAGAAGGGAAUAUAGAUUUAUUUAUUUAUAUAUUCAUCUAUUUACUUAGUUAAACUUACUAAGAAGUUCUGAUAAAGCAAUUAUGGAAAGGGCUGCUUGCUAAAGGGAGGGGAAGAACAACAAUUGGCAACUUAGAAGACCACGUCCUUCUUGCUUACACACUACUGAUUUUGUCCUGUAGCAGAUUGUUGGAACAAUACUUUCCCAGACAAGCUAAGGGACUGUGGAAUGCCUCGAGGGCAAUAGAAAUCAAAUAGAAGCAAAUAUCAAGUCUUGAGUGAUGACGGAGGUACAUUUUAAGUAUCAUGGAAAUCUCACGGGACGGGCUCAUUUUCCCACUCUGGCAACAGAGGUUGACACCACUGCAGACAAGUAUUCCAACCUGUACAUGUAUGUAGGAUUAUUCCUGAGUCUCCUGGCCAUUCUUCUCAUCCUGCUCUUCACCAUGCUUCUUCGGCUCAAACAUGUCAUCUCACCCAUCACUGAGAGCACCGAAAGUGUUCCUCAGUUCACAGAUGUAGAGAUGCAAAGCCGAAUUCCCACUCCUUAAAGUCGGGAUGAUGGUGAGACUCGGCAAAUAUGAGCAGACCCUGGCAUGCUGACACCUAGGGAGGCUUCCUUUCUCACAUGAGACUUCCCACAUAACAACAAGCUGCUUGUGUUUGAUGCUGUCAUCCUGCCUCUUCACUGUGCUUAUGAGACCUCUAAGAGGCUUAAGAGUCAUUCUUUUAACAGAAUAUGGGAAAUUGCAGCUGGCUGGGCUGGCAGGUUUCCAUAGUAACCAAAAAGAGCCUGGGCCUUGAACAAACCUCAGACCACAGAAAUUCAUAAACAGCAGUCGUUAAAACACGAGAUUCCCUGAAAGCUGCAAGAGUGAACAAGACUUUACCUUUGAAUGUGUGAGGACCCCUCCCCCAGAAAAAUGACAGGCUUUAAUCUAUUACCUUAGCCCUAAAGAAUUGCUUCCCACAUAACACAGACAUCUCCUGACAUGGAGCUAAAUCACGUCACAGGUGACUGGUAAGGAUUGUUCAUCUUUCCUCAAAAGAGCAUCGGGUUUCUUCAAAACAAAAGAGGAUAUUUAAAGAACCUAUUACAAUUUAAAGAGAAAAUUUGCAGACAAUGUCUAGUGAACAAAUGUGUAUAUUGUAUCUGUGUUGUUACUGUGACUGAGUGUGUAAAAACUCAGAAGACGGCAGAUGUAUUACUACAUUCUAAGACAAGGAGCUGCCUCCAAAUCAAGGAAAAAUUAAGUCAAACUGUUCUCAUGAUAAGGAUUUCUACUUUACACAUGCAGUUUCCUUAUUGCCCUCCCACGAUUGAGUUGCAUAUGAAUAUGAACUUGAUUUGAAGGCGGACUUGGCAAAGAAGACCCAAAUGUAUUUCAAAGCAGAAAUGAAGUGGUCUUGGGAUCUGUUACUGGAUGACUGUGACUUUGACCGAAGCCUGCCAGCUUUCUGGGUCUCACGUUUUUCUUGCUGAAAACUGUUCAGAGAGCUAUUUCCUCAUCAGUUUUUAGAUAUGAGCAUAAGACAAACUGAGAUGAAGGGAGAUAGGACUAAAAGUUACCCUGCAACAGAUUCUUUAUAAGAUCAAUGUCUUCAAAUAUUACAUCUGUCUUUCCCAGAAAAUGUUCCUCCCUUCCCCAUCCCUGCCAAACAAAAAAAAACUGAAGUGUUCCACUUAUUAUCUAUAAGAGAAAUAUAUUUUGAAAAUUUCCAUUCUCGUGAGUAGCUCUAGUGUGCCAGUAAUGGAUAAUUUAAUUAAAAAAACUUGACUUUCCAAAAUAAAACCAAAGGAGAUGAGUGACGUUUACAAAUUAGAAAUUGCAAAAUUGGUUAUAGUUUUGCCACCAAAGACAUGGUAUACCUGUCUUAGAUUUUACCUGCACACACACACACAUGCUCACACACACACACACACACACACACACACAUGCUCACACACACACACACACGCACACAUGCACACACACACACACACACACACACACACACACACACGAAUGAGCUGUCCCUUGUAAUUAAAGCGUGGUCAUCAAAUUUCAUGGAAUUCCCUUAGGGACCAAGCUGCUGAUAUAAAAAUGGAAUGGAUGCGAAACAUGGCACCUGUGCCAGGCAUGUAUCAUUUUAGUGUGCAACCAGUUUAGGUUGGUCCCUUUACUGUGAUCUAAAUCUAGCAUGGUGGUGAAAUUCCCAAGUGCAUUCUACUUUUAUCCACAGUCAUUUGCCAAUGCUCGCCUCUCCAAGGGGCUGCACAGUGUAAAAUCCCCACAUGAAGAACUAAACUUAGCAGCUAGGCUGCCUGCCACACCUGUUACAACUGUGCACCGUCAGAGAGAGCAGCUGCAUUCUGCAUGAUUCAUAAGAAAUUAGCAGGUAGGCUAAGACUUGGAUAGGACUUUGAGAUUUAUAUUUUCCAAAAUGCAAAGUCACUCUUACAGGAAUACAUAUUGGUUGGUUAAGUUGUGUCUAUAUCUGGUACUCAGACUCCAUGGACUUUUAAAAUGUUUUACUUUUAACCUUGCAUUGGCUGGCAAUAUAGCCAAGAACUUAAGGGCACGGGUUACCUCCUCCCCCCAUUCCAGUUUCUCCUUUUUGUGCUCACAGUAUUCAAAUGCACUUUACAGUAGAGAAGUCAGUGGCUGGAAAAUAGUAAAUCUAGUUACACAUCCAACAACAGUGCACAGCAAGCUCCACACUGUCUUGCAGAACCCGAUAAAGAUGCAGUCUGCAUUAGCGCACCACCCCAGCCUAAACUUCAGAAUAUUAAAAUUGCUUUGGAAGUACUACGCUAGGGGAUGAUUCCUAAUUUAUGAUCACGUUGCUCACCAAGCAAACAACCACCCUCUUUCAUCACAACAACCCCUAUGGGAUCCAGAUCUUAACUUAGCAGUAAUCAAGCACACAGCAGAGAUUACACCAAAAUAGUAAUGUAAUUCACCCCAGUUUCACGUGAUAUGAUAUGAAUGGAAAUGCAUUUAAGCAGAUGUGUCAUCGUGGUAACUCACAAGGUAUUUGAUCUUUAGGAAAAUACACGGAAUGCUUUUAUGACAGCAAAGAAAAGAACAUCUAUCUCUAUUUCUAUUCAAGUAUGAUGUAUCCUCAAAUGUAUUAAUUAGCAUAUUACCACUUUAAAAGUCAGCUUAUAAUAAUCAGUGGGCACAAUUCAAAUUUAUUUUUCUGUGCAAAAUAGAGACUUGACAAUUCUCUGCCCCAUUCUAUUCUCCCUCAAAUGGCAUACUUUCUGAGAUAUGAACCGUUAGGUCAUUUACAUGUACAGUACUCUAUUUUUUAAAAAAACACUUUAUUGGGCCAUAUGUAUAUUAAAAAUGCUCAUAUGUCAACAAUUUCCAGCAAUUUAGCCUGAUACAAACACCACCUGAAUUCUCCAAAUAAAAUACAAUAUUAAUACGGGUUCUACUAAUGAUGUACAUUGCAUAUAUUUCAGGGUCAUUAAUCAUAUGAAACAAGGCAUAUUGCAAAGGGUUAUGGAUUAUAUAUUGAGCAACAAAUUCUAAUGUUAAGCAAGUAAAGAUGGGUUUAUCCAGUCUCACCUCUCCAUCCUUGCCAAAUUCAAAAUUCUGGACUUCAGUAACUAAUUUUGAAUGUGCAGAUCCCACAAUAUUUAUUAAAUAGGUAGAAGGGGUCCAUUUAAUACAUUUAAAAGUUAUAUUAAGUAAUACAUUUUAUUCAACCACAUUUGUACAGGGUAACUGUGGGGUUUUUUGUUUUUGCAAAAAUGAAAGUUGUGUGGGAAAAUUGGAAAUUCUUUGGUUUUAACAUGAUUUUACUUGAAUUAGAUUCACAUUGUAUUAAAACAGAAUCAGAUUUAUAUUAAUGUUCAGCAUGUUGCUUUGAUCCCUGUAUAAUAAGCGCUGACGCUUUUGUUUGCUGGUAACAAAUGUCUGUCCUCUGAAGAUGUAAAUGGCACCGCAUUAGCUUCUUUAUUGCAAUAUAAAUUAUAAUAACUGUGACAUAUUUGUGGGAUUUAUCUUUUGGAGGCCUCAUUAUUAUUUGGUAUUUCCUAACUUCCCAGUUUUCAUUCUUUUGCCACUUGCAAACUGAUGGGCAAACUUGUUUAUUUAGCAUGAUAUGAAAACUAGAAUACCAUUUGACUAUGUAAAUGUGAGUAAAUGUGAAGGACAAGGGAGAUCACACACACACACACACACACACACACCACAAUAGGAUAUUUUUUUUAAAAAUAGACUUCCAUAUUUUAUUUUAUGUGUAUAAGUAGUGUGCCAGCAUUUAUGCAUGUGCACCAUGCUUAUGCCUGGUCCCCUCAGAGGUCAGAAGAGGAUUUCCUGUCCCUGGAACUGGAUUUAGGAAUGGUUGUAAACUACGUGAGUACUAAGAAUCUCCCCUGUGGAGAGGGGCUCUGGAGACAUGGCUCAGUGGUUAAGAGCACUGACUGCUCUUCCAGAGGCCCUGAGUUCAAAUCCCA
ensembl:lncRNA Sertm2 serine rich and transmembrane domain containing 2